rnacentral:rRNA from 1 species
GGUAUUUUGACUAUACAAAGGUAUUGAAAUAAGAUUUUAAUUGAGUGCUAAGAGAAUGGAUUAACAAAAAAUGGCUGUUUCAAAGUUAAUAAUUAAAAUUAUUUUUAUUUGUGCAGAAACAAUAAUAUUAAUUAAGGACAAGAAGACCCUAAGAAUUUUAAAAUAAAUUUUAUUUAUUUAUUAAGACAUAUAUUAUUUUUAAUUGGGGCGAUUGAGAAAUAUUAACAACUUUUUUUAAUGUUUAAAAUGAACCAUUAUUAGUGGUAAUAUGAAAAAAAUACUCUAGGGGUAACAGCGUAAUAAUUUUUGACAGUUCUUAUAGACAAAAUAGUUUGCGACCUCGAUGUUGGAUUAGGAUUCUUUUUUAAUGAAGAAGUUAAAAUAAGAAGUUUGUUCAACUUUUAAAUUCCUA